AACAACUCACCUGCCGAAUGAAUUAGCCCUGAAAAUGGAUGGCGCUUAAGCGGGCGACCGACACCAUGCCGUCUGUAAAAGAUAUCAGAUGAGUAGGAGGACGUGGCGGGUGUGUCGAAGCAUGCGUGCAGACGCGUGUGGAACAGCCGCUAGUGCAGAUCUUGGUGGUAGUAGCAAAUAUUCAAGCGAGAUCCUUGAAGGGCGAAGCGGGGAAGGGUUCCACGCGAACAUUGAUUGGGCGUGGGUGAGUCGUUCCUAAGCCGAGUGGCAAUUGCUAAGUAGCGGCGAAAGGGAAGCAGGUUGACAUUCCUGCACACGGAUGUGGAGGCGGUGACGCUUUAAUGAGGGCGAACACGCUGGCGGUGGCGCUGGGCAGAGUUUUCUUUUCUGUUUGACCGCUGCAGCACACAGUGUGGAAUCCGCUUGUCGGGAGAAACACGCGUGCUCGGGCAGAGCGCCGGGGCUAUUCCGGCGUCCAGCUCGCCACCGACGGCCCUUGAAACUUUGCCUGCUGGUAUUUAUGUUUUUAAUAAAAAAAUCCACGCCGUGGCGUACCGAUCACCGCAUCAGGUCCCCAAGGUGAACAGCCUCUGCUCGAUAUGAAAAAU
rnacentral:rRNA from 1 species